UGUUUGAUUUUAAAACCAAUUGGGGCUAUUUAAAACAAUAAGUAAAUGAACAUACAAUCAUUAGGUGGUGCUGCCUUGCAACUCUGUGGCCAGCCUCUUGGUGCCCCCUGUGUCUGUGGGUGUUGCAUGUUAAUCACUUAAAGGAUGUGUGGCCGCCCAGUCUGCAUCCAUCUGGCUGCCGCGCUGCCGAGCCAUGUGCAUUCAAUUCCAACUGCAGGUCAAGUGGCCGCCAAAGCAAAAGCCGCAACCACACUUGGAGCUGCGUCUGCGCCGGGUGUUGGUACUGGGAGUGGGUGGAACCUCUGGAUGCCGGGUUUUACUAAAACUUUGUGCCUUACCUAGCAUGGCCCGUCCGUAUUCUUCGUUUGGCUAGAAUUUGCGGCAUUUGUUCAAGGUGGCAGCCGCGUCGUCUUUGUUCGCUUGGAGCAUGCAAAUCUGUCAACAAAUUGGCGGCGAUUAGGCGUCACUACCCACCACCAGGAGGAGUAGGAGAGCCUCCCUCGUGGGAAUCAUAUGCCGCCUAGAGAUAGAAAUGCCGGCCAGUUUGUCGGUCAACAAUUUAGACAUAAUUUGAAAGCGUCGCCCCGUUUCAGUCCACACGCAAAGCGUGGUCCUCGCUUACGCAAUGGCCACAUGUCAAAUUAUGCAUAAUGGGAGCGCCAGCAGUGGAGUGAAGUGGAAUGGAGCCAGGUGGUUUGGGCAGGAGGUGGGCUCAGAUAAACCCACGCCCAGAUGGCACCCAACGCAAGGCUGAAAAAUGUCCCCUGUUCCACAUUAUGCACGAGAUUCAUCAACACCCAACGACCAGCCCCACUGUAAACCAGCUUUUGAUGAACUGCUACUGAUGAU